GAUGAACGCUGGCGGCGUGCCUAAUACAUGCAAGUCGAACGAAACUUCUUUAUCACCGAGUGCUUGCACUCACCGAUAAAGAGUUGAGUGGCGAACGGGUGAGUAACACGUGGGCAACCUGCCCAAAAGAGGGGGAUAACACUUGGAAACAGGUGCCAAUACCGCAUAACCAUAGUUACCGCAUGGUAACUAUGUAAAAGGUGGCUAUACUACCGCUUUUGGAUGGGCCCGCGGCGCAUUAGCUAGUUGGUAGGGUAAAGGCUUACCAAGGCAAUGAUGCGUAGCCGAAUUGAGAGGUUGAUCGGCCACAUUGGGACUGAGACACGGCCCAAACUCCUACGGGAGGCAGCAGUAGGGAAUCUUCCACAAUGGGCGAAAGCCUGAUGGAGCAACGCCGCGUGGGUGAAGAAGGUCUUCGGAUCGUAAAACCCUGUUGUUAGAGAAGAAAGUGCGUGAGAGUAACUGUUCACGUUUCGACGGUAUCUAACCAGAAAGCCACGGCUAACUACGUG
rnacentral:rRNA from 1 species